CGGAUCUUCUUCUUUUUGUGGCUGUGGACACCUUUCAACACUGCCUUCUUGGCCUUUAAAGCCUUCGCUUUGGCUUCAGCUUUAGGAGGGGCAGGAGCUUCCUUCUUCGCUUUCGGCGCCAUGUUGUGAAAAGGGUCCAUAUGCUGUGUUUUAAGGUGUGUGAUUUCCAAUUUACUCAUGUAAGUUCUCGGAUGAGCUGCCUAGAGACCUAUAACCCCGUUCCUAUCUACAGCACUGCCCAAAUAGUUAUUGGUCUUACAGCAUGACAAAGCAUUUUAAACAAACCUCCUCUGUUCAUCCAGACUCUUUGUAUGAAAGAGCUCUGAAACCGAUCCAGGCACAGAUGGCCAGGUUUUACCAGUGUUCCCAGCCUGUGUAACAUCCCCCCCGCCACCAUUUUCCACAGUGAGAUAGAUGGAGUGGAAAACAGUAUUAAUCUUCAAAAGCAGAAUUAUUGCAUUAUUGGUCCCCAAGAACCAAUCCUUUUAAAACAAUUUGCCAUCACAGACUGGGUGCCAUUUUACAGAAACAUGACCUAGAACAGAAGAAAUCUAUAUUCUAAUGAUUCAGCUGAUUGAGUCCACAAAAGGCAUUGCCUUGGUCAAUCAAUUUGCUUGUGUUUUAGAGAUACCAGCAAACCCUACUGUGCCUAAAAACAAACACAAAGACACCAGGAGAAAACUAGCAUUAAGAUCCUUUUCUUUUUUAGCUAGUUGUCAUUCACUGCCUAAAUCAUUUCCCAGUUUUUUUUUUUUAUCUAAAGCAGUUUACUUUUAUUAAAUUUUUCAAUACAAAUAACAACUGGGUUAAAAAUUAUUAAAUCAACUCUAUGGGCUGUUUUUAAAUGCCCUGUUUCUGAUGAUGAAAGCUAGGCUCAGCAGCCUUGAACCUUGAUUUAGUCAGUUCAGGCUGCCAUAAGAAAAUAUUACAGACUGGGCGUCUUAAAAUCAAACAUUUAUUUCGCCCAGUUCUGCAGGUUAGGAAGUCCAAGACCACGGUGCUGGCAGACUCAGUGUCUGUGAAGGCCCACUUUCUAGUUGGCAGAUGGCUGCUUUUUUGCUGUGUCCUCACAUUGCUGGUGGUGGGGUUGGAGGUGGUGGGGGUAGUUUGGGGAGAGAGCACUCUAGUUUUUCCUCUUCUUAUAAGCACACUAAUUCCUUCAUGGGAGCUACACUCUCAUGACCUCAUCUAAACCUAGUUACCUCCCAAUGGUCCCACUUUUUUUUUUUUGUGAGGCAGAGUCUUGCUCUGUUGCCCAGGCUGGAGUGCAGUGGUGUGAUCUCGGCUCACUGCAACCUCUGCCUCCCAGGUUCAAGCAUUUCUCCUACCUCAGCCUACCGAGUAGCUGGGAUUACAGGCGCCCACCACCAUGACCAGCUAAUUUUUGUAUUUUUAGUAGGGACGGGGUUUCGCCAUGUUGGCCAUGGUGGUCUUGAACUCCUGACCUCAGGCGAUCCAUCCACCUCAGCCUCCCAAAGUGCUGGGAUUACAGACGUGAUCCACCACGCCUGGCCGGCCCCACUUCUAAAUACCAUUACACUGUGGGCCCAAGUUUCAACACAUGAAUUUUGGGGGAACACAAGCAUUCAGUCCAUAUGAACACAGAUUUUUGGUAAACUAACUCAAAAAACCCUUCUAGGCCAAAAUAGUUAUAUCUAACAUCUUUUUAACGAGAGGUUUCAGCCUCUGCAGGUUAGAAAGCAAGACAGAGUUAUCAAAGAAGUAUCCGUCAUUCCGUUUUUGUUUUGUGUUGCUUAGGGUUAUCACAUUAUUGUGUUUAUUUCCAAAUUUAUUCUACAAAUGUAUUGAGUGGCGUAUAUUUAGGAAAUACUUUUUCUAGAAUUGUAAGUGGUUUCUCCAAAAAGACAGAAUGCUAAGUCACGUGGUAUUUCCCACCACGGGCAUGUGCUACCUUCUCUUUUGAAUAUAAAUAAAUCAUGUACGCAGAAGAGAUGUUGACAGGGUUUUAUUAAGCAUGCCUUUUCUUUUUUCAAUCUGUGGCCUUUUGGAACAUUGUAAUGAGGUUGUUUCACCACAGUUCCAACUUGUCGUUGUCAGUCCAAAGCCUACAUUUUUUAAUAGGGUAAAUGAGUGUCCAGGGAUGCUGAAGAUGAGGCAGCACUAGGGGUUAUGUAGAUAUGGACUGAGCAAAGUCUUGGGGCAUCUUAUGCACCUUAUGCAGUCUUGCCAGAAGAUUAGUGGGCUUGCUAUUUUAUAGGUCAACUACUAAAGGAACUCUCAUUAGUGAGACUGUUACAAGGAUAUUUUGAAUUAGAAGCUUGAUACUCCAUUACUUGUGGGUUGAAACUGAUGCUCUGCUGAGAUCUUGGGAGGUGAGGUACAUCACCAUGUCCUGGGUUGAGGUAGAAGAUACUCAAGACCCUGCAACCCUGACUUGGAACAUUGUAAGAGGAGAUGGGAAAAGAAUUUCUAGGGUGAGAAUUCUUCCUGUGGGAAGGAAUAUAUCUGGAAUAAAGAGGCUUGAAGAUGUUAUCUACGCCGGGUAGUGGGUAACAUUUUCCCUUGCAUGUUGCGAUUCCUUUCUGAAAAGUGCCUGAACAUGCCUGCACUGCCUGUUGAGCUAGUCUUGGGUCACCACAGAGUGGCAAAGGGAAAGGGAGCCUUUUCUAUUCCAACUCCUCCCAGCCUCCAGGGCAGAGACAACUUCAGUCUCUCAGGGGGUUGUGCCGGCGGAUGGGGAUAGUAACAAAAGACAGAAAGAGUUCUCCCCAAAGCCAAAGCAGGCAGUGUCAGACCCUCCCAUGGUGCUGGAGGAGUAGCCUCAACGGACUCUGCCAGAUGACACUAACACAGACUUUCUGGCAGUCCUGGUAAAAUAUAGAGGGGGAGAAGGUGGUACAAACUCCUGAGUUGCUUCAGUAAGGGAGGAAGAGGAAAGAGGCCAUGCAGAAGAGAAGCUAUGAGCAUGCACAACCAUAGUUUUCCUAGAAAUUUUAGAUAUAUCGAAAUUUCGUCUGCUACUCAUGAUCAAUAUCUGUUAAUAUUUUCUAAAUGGAAACAAAUGAUUCUUUAAAGGAAAUGGUGUCAAGUGCAUUUUGACUUGAAUGUAACAUCAGUCUCUUCUCACACACCAGGCUGCAGUCAUGUAGGCUUUCUGUCAAUUCCUAGAACUUUCCUGACCUGAAGUCUUGCUCAGGCCAUUUGCUCUGCUGGGAACACUCCUACUUCAGCUUUUUGCAGAACUGGUUCCUUUUUACCCAUUAUGAGGAUUCUAAUGUUGUAACUUCAGAGAGUGAAUCUUGACCUGUUUAUCUGCUUAAACCUUUGCCUCUGUUGAAGUCCCUGUUUAUCUCCUUUCCAGAAUAUCUCAAAACCUGUAAUUAUUUCAUUUAUGUAUUCCUUUUCUUGCUUCCUGUUGGCUUAUCCCACUGAAAUAUAAUUUUCAUGAGGGCAAGGAUUUUGUCUAUCUUAGUUACCUUUUGUCUUAGUACCUGGCGCAGUGUUUGGCAAUUGGAAAGUGCUAAAUUUUUUUUUUUGGUAACUGAUGAUCAAAUAUAAAUGUGAUAUAUUUAUAUAUUUGCCUUAUAAAUGUUAGCAGCAAAUUCUCAAAAAGGUUCUGAAACCUUUGUCUCAGUGGUUUCAAGAAACCAAACCCUUAAUACAAAAUUGUUAGAGAGAUUCUAAAGUCAUUCUGACAGGUUGUAGUUCCUUUCUGAAUGAGUUAAUAAACAAAAGAAAUCUCAUUUAUGUUCAAACGUUUUAAAAAUUGCUCUUCCUUCUUAAUUAUUUGCUAAUAAUUUUUUUAAAGUUGGUGCACUGUGUGGUAAUUGCACUGAAAGAGAAGGUAGUCUGUUUUCAUGUCUGCUACCCCAGUGAUUAUUAUUAGUAUUGAUCUCUUGGUUUGGCUGCAUGGGAGGGGAACCACACAUUUAGCACCACAGCAAGUUUCGCAGGUGGAAAAAAGCCUUUCUUUGGCUACAGGUACUGGUUUCCUGAUACUUUCCCUACUUCUGGUUCAAAAAUUUAGUGGACGACUUUGUUGGGAAACAAUUCUUCAUGGGUUUCUUGUGUUUCUGCAUGUUUUGUAUCAGUUUUUGUUCUCAAUUAUUUUUCCAAGGAUGUUUGUAUGGUAAAUAGUUUUGGAAGAUGCGAUAGUGUCUAUCUCUGACAAGGACAGAUUUGUUUGCUGUCUGGAAUAAAAGGAUAUUGUCUUGUUCUGGAACAAAGGUUGGGCAAGUUUGCUAGCAGCCUUUUUGUAAGAUUGAGGGCUUCCUAAGAUCAGGGGUCAUCAGUUGGGAUACAAAAGCAUAGUGUGAGUAACAUCUGUGCUGGCCACUGGACAUAUCCCUGUAGAACUUGUGUGCAUUCAGAGAUGGGAAAGGGAACUGAGGUGAACACGAGGCUCAUGCUAUCUGCUGUGCCUUGAGUAAUAAAGUCCUUCUUCUCUGACUCCUGAGUUUUUUUUUUUUUUUGCCAGCAUCCAUAAAACUAUGUCUUAGAUGCUUUUCAGCUCUUGAGACUUAAUUUCAAGGAAAACCUAUGCUGUGAUUAUUGUUAUUUUUUCUAUGUGUAGCUUUGUUUUAUUUAUUUAUUUAUUUAUUUGCCUGUAUCCUUGUUUGGCAGGAGGGCAUUUAUCCCAAAGAUUCCCUUUCCCUCACUUCUAGUGAGUUCUGACAAGCACCCAGCUAGUAUGAUCGAUUUUUGGUAAAAUAGAGAAAAAGGAGAGUGUCAGAAUAAUAAUCUGGCCACUGUAUAUAAAAAGAAGCAUUUAAUAUUAAUUCAAGAAAGGUUUCCUGUGUUGACAAUGUUUCCUUCUGCAGCUCUUUAGGGAAGAGAUAUUUUUAUUUAUCCACUAUCCAUUUCUUCACAUGUGCCCACAAAGAGCCCCAAACAUCCUACUCCCAAACUGAGAGAAAGACAUAAUUAUAGCAGAGUGAAGUGAUCAUAUGAAACUUCCCACAGAUAACACUGAUAAAAUCUGAACAAAAUAUUAAAAAAAAACACCAACUAUGUAGAGGAAUGGGAAAGUAUCCAAAAACAAACAGAAAUAAGGUAAGUUUACUCCUGAGAAACUGCAACUGAAAGUGGUAAGAAUUGCAAGUUUGUGGCCUGUUACCUGAUAGUGCUCCCUAAUCCCUGCAGGUAGGAGAAAAUGUAGCUUUACCAGGCUAAACAGUGUUCAUGGCUUAAAAACCUGUUGGAAAUUUAAGAGGGAGACUCUGGCAGAGAAUGAACUGUAGAAAGGAUGAGACUCAGAAAUCUGAGCAUACACGCUGCCCACACCUCUUCUCAUCAUUAAAGUCUGUACGCACAGAGACCUCAGGGACCCAGUGAAAAAGCAGACAGAGACCCCAGAGGAACAGACCCUUCAAAGACAGAGCUGCAUUGUGAACAUGAGUUUAUUUCUAUGAGAUGCGUCCUGGCUUGAAAUGUCAGAGGAUAGAGCCUGAGGCUGGAAGAGUAGUAGGAAAUUAAAAGUUUAAAACCCUACUAGGGAAAAAAUACACACUACAAAUUAAGAAAUGGAUGAAAUGCAGCUUUCUCUUUUAUAGAGCAUGGUAUUAGUCUUGAGGAAUUAUUGGCCUUCUGGGAGUAGUACUUCCAGCUUAUAUUCCUCUCUGAACCCCUGGAUUCCUUUCAGGUGGGGCUAUAUCCUUUCAAAAUUAGCAAAGAACAACUGAGGAGCAGGUAGACAGCAUAGGGUAAUCUCAUUUUCACCAAUUGUGGGUAAUAUUUUUCCUUAAAAUGUGACAUUUUGUCUUUAAAGACAUUUCUCUUCUGACUUCUUCCCUAAUGUCUCUUCUUCCACUUCCAUAUUAAUAUGUGUGACUCUCAAGACUCAGUUCAUUUGUCUUCAUUACACUUGUUCCUUCGAAGAACUCACUCAUUCUCAUUGCUGUGACUAUCAAUUUCCUGUGGAUGUUUCUCAUAUCCAUAAUUUAAUUGUUUUUUCUAUAAGAAGAAAAUUGGAUCCCUACCUUAUAGUAUAUAGAAAAAUGAACUCCAAAUGGAUCAUAAACCAAAAUGGAAGUGCUAAAACUAUAAGUCUCUUAAAAGAAAACCUAUAUGUAAAUCUUUGUGACCUUGGAUUAAGCCAUGGAUUUUUUAGAUACCUAAAUACAAGCAACUGAAAAACAAAUUAGACUUCAGCAAAAUGAAAAGCAUUGUCUUUAAAAGAUACUAUUAAGAAAGUGAGGAUCAAUACCAAGAAGAGCUCUCAAAACCACACAAUUACCUGGAAAUUAAACAACUUGCUCCUGAAUGACUUUUGGGUAAAUAAUGAAAUUAGUCAGACAUUAAAAAUUUCUUUGAAAUAAAUGAAAACAGAGGCACAACAUACCAGAAUCUCUGGGAUGCAGCUAAAGCAGUGUUAAGAGGAAAGUUUAUAGCACCAAAUGCUUACAUCAAGAAGUUGGAAAGAUAUCUAAUUAGCAAUCUAAUAUUGCAUUUAGAGGAACUAGAAAAACAAGAACAAACAAAACCCAAAGCUAAAGGAAGAAAAGAAAUAACUGAAAUUAGAGCAGAACUGAAUGAAAUUGAGACCCCAAAUCCAUACAAAGGAUCAAUGAAACAAAAAGCUGGUUCUUUGAAAGGAUAAACAAGAUCUAUAGACUGCUAACUAGAUGAACAAGGAGAAAAGAGAGAAGAACCAAAUAAAUGCAAACAGAAGUGGCAAAUGUGACUUACAACUAAUCCCACAGAAAUACAAAAGAUCCUCAGAGACUAUAUGAACACCUAUAUGCACAAACACUAGAAAAUCUAGUGGAAAGAAUGGAUACAUUCCUGGAAACACACAACCUUCCAAGACUGAGUCAGGAAGAAAUAAAAACCCUGAACAGACUAAUAUUGAGUUCUAAAAUUGAAUCAGUAACAAAAAACCUACUAACCAAAAAGAGCCCUGGACCAGAUUGAUUCACAGCCAAAUUAUACCAAAUGUAAAAAGAAGAGCAUGUACCAAUGCUACUGAAUCUAUUACAAAAAAUUGAGAAGGGACCCCUCCCUAACUAAUUCUAUGAUGCCAGCAUAAUUCUGAUAUCAAAAUCUGGCAAACACACACACACACACACACACACACACACACACACACACACACACAGAAGAAAAAAGCAAGAAAACUGCUGGCCAAUAUCCUUGAUGAAUAUAGAUGCAAACAUUCUCAACAAAAUACUAGCAAACUGAAUCCAGAAGCACAUCAAAAAGUUAAUUCACCAUGAUCAAGUAGACUUUAUUCCUGGGAUGCAGGGAUGGUUCAACAUACAUAAAUCAAUAAAUGUGAUACCACAUAAACAUAAUUAAAAACAAUAGAUGCAGAAAAAGCUUUUGAUAAAAUCCAACAUCCCUUCAUGAUGAAAACCCUCAAGAAACUAGGCAUCAAAGGAACAUACCUUAAAAUAAUAAGAGUCAUCUAUGACAAACUCACAGCUAACAUUAUACUGAAUGGGCAAUAGCUAGAAGCAUUCCCCUUAUGAACUGGAACAAGACAAAGAUGCCCACUCUCACCACCCCUAUUCAAUAUAGUGCUAGAAAUCUUAGCCAGAGCAAUCAGACAAGAGGAAAAAAAGAAAAAGCAUCCAAAUAGGAAAAGAAGUUAAAUUAUCUCUCUUUGUUGAUGAUAUGAUUCUAUAUCUAGAAAACCCUAAAGACUUCACCAAAAGAUUCCUAGAGCUGAUAAACAACUUCAGCAAAGUUUUAAGAUACAAAAUCAUUGAACAAAAAUCAGUAUCAUUCCUUACACCAAUAAUAGUCAAGCCAACAGCCAAAUAAAUAAUGCAAUCUCAUUUACAAAAGCCACACACACAAAAUAAAAUACCUAAGAAUAUAUCUAACCUAAGAAGUGAAAGAUAUGUACAAGCAGAACUGUAAAACACAGCUGAAAGAAAUCAUAGAUGAUACAAACAAAUGGAAGAACAUCCCAUGCUCAUGGAUCAAAAGAGUCAAUGUUGUUAAAAUGGCUAUACUGCCCCAAACAAUCUACAGAUUCAAUGCUAUCCUAUCAAACUACCAAAGUCAUUUUUUACAAAUUUAGAAAAAACUAAAGUUCAAAUUCAUAUGGAAUGAAAGAAGAACCUGAGUAGCCAAAGUAAUCCUAAGCAGAAGCAUCACCUUACUUGACUUCAAACUAUACUAUAAGACUACAGUAACCAAAAUAGCAUGGAACUGGUGCAAAAACAGACACAUAGACCAAUGGAACAGGAUUUAUCCAGAAAUAAAGUCACACACCUACAGCCAUCUAAUAUUUGACAAAAUCAACAAAAAUAAGCAAAAUCAACAAUGUUUUGUUGACAAAAUCAACAAAAACAACACACAUGCAUGUGCAGGUGUGUGUGGGCGCUCGCCCCCUUUUUCCCUGCGGCUGCUACCCCUUAAAGGUAGUAUAAAAAAAGAAAAAAAGUAAGCAAUGGGAAAAGGACUCCCUAUUCAAUAAAUGGUGCUGAAAUAGCUGAUUAGCCAUACACAAAAUGAAACUAGACUCUGGUUUUGCAACAUAUACAAAAAGUAACUCAAGAUAGACCAAAGAUUUAAAUGUAAGGCCUUAAACUACAAAAGUCCUAGAAGAAAACCUACUAAACACCAUUGUGGACAUCAGCCUUGGGAAAAAAUUUAUGACUAAGUCCUUGUAACAAAAACAAAAAUUGACAAGUGGGACCAAUUAAACCAAGGAGCUUCUACACAGCAAAAGAAACUAUCAACAGAGUAAACAGAAAACCCACAAAAUGGAAGAAAAUGUCCACAAACUAUGCAUCCAACAGAAGUCUAAUCUUUAUAGAUUCUAUAGUCUAUAGAAUCUAUAAAGAACUGAAACAGUCCAUCAAGCUAAAACAAAUAAACCACUUAAAAAUAGGCAAAGGACAUGAACAGACACCUCUCAAAAGAAGACGUACAAGUGGCCAACAAGUACAUAAAAAAAUUCUCAACACCACUAAUCAUUAGAUAAAUGCAAAUCAAAACUGUAAUGAGAUACCACCUCACACCAGUCAGAAUGGCUAUUAUUAAAAACGACAGCAACAAAAAAAAAAACAGGUGCUGGCAAGGAUGGGGAGAAAAGAGAAUGCUUAUACAUUGUUGGUGGAAAUGUAAAAUAGUUCAGCCACUGUGGAAAGCAGUUUGGAGAUUUCUCAAAGAACUGAAAACAGAACUACCGUUUGACCCAACAAUCCCAUUAUUGGGUGUAUAAAUUGUUCUACCAAAAGGACACAUGCACUUGUAUGUUCAUUGAAGCACUAUUCACAAUAGCAAAUAUCAACCUAGAUGCUCAUCAGUGGUGGACUGGAUAAAGAAAAUGUGGUACAUAUGCAUGAUGGAAUACUAUGCAACCAUUACAUAGAACAAAAUCAUGUGUUUUGCAGUAACAUGGAUGCAGCUGCAGACCAUUAUCCUAAAUGAAUUUAUCCUAUAACAGAGAACCAAACACCGCAUGUUCUCACUUAUAAGUGGGAGAUAAACAUUGAGUACACAUGAGUACACAUGGACUUAAAGAUGGAAACAGGGCACUACUCAAGGGGGUAGGAUGUAGGGGAAGCCAGGAUUGAAAAACUACCCUUCAGAGACUAUGCUCACUAUGUGGGUGAUGUGAUCAUUUGUACACCAAAUCUCAGCAACACACAAUUUAUCCACAUAAACCUCCACAUGUACCCGCUGAAUCUAAAAUAAAAGUUGAAAGAAAAAACAACCCACAAGAAAGAUGAGGCUGGGUGCUGUGACUGAUACCUAUAAUCCCAGCACUUUGGGAGGCCUAGGUGGCAGGAUUGCUUGAGGCCCAGGGGUUUGAGACACCACCCUGGACAAAAUAGCAAGACGCAUCUCUAAAAAAUAAAAAAAAAUUAAUAAAAUUUAAAAAUAAGAUACAACCCACAAUGGGAAAAAUAUUUGCAUAUUAUAUAUUUGCUAAGGGCCUAGUAUCUAGAAUAUAUAAUUUUAUUUUAACCUCUCUGAAGUUUCAAUGAAUAUUUAUAAUUGCCAAGUGAAUACUGUUUUACUCUGAUCUCUAAUGCAAUGAAUCUUAAUUGUUUCUUUUAAUGGUACCAUUGUUGAUCAAUUGAUUAAGGCUGAAAGUCAUUGUCUAACUUUGAUUUCUUUCUCUCUCCAUAGCCAAUAAUUUACUAAAUCUUCUUGCCUAUUUAUUAUAUAUAUUAUAUAUUUUAAAAUAUUUUUAAUAGCUGUUAAUUAAGCCACAUCCAUUCCAUUUUUACAUUUUUACAGUAAAUCCAAACCGUUUUUACAGUUUCCCUUACCAUUCAGAUUCUCAUCACAUUACUUAGGCAAUUAAAGUAAUGCCCUACUAGGACUCCUUGUGCCCAGCCUACCACUAAACACUAAAAUUUGUGUUUUUAUUAUACCCCUCUGCUUUAAACAAAUAAAAAAAUAGCAAAUAAAAGCCCCAUGCCUGCAAAAGUCCAUCGCCACCUAAAGAAGUUGUUCUCAAAUACUAGCAUGAGUAAGAAUCACCUGGAGGGCCAUGAAAAAUACAGAUCCCCAGGCCCUGCCCCUGAUGAUCUGAUUUAUUAGAUCUGAGGUAGUGCCCAAGAAACUGCAUUGUCAAAAAGCUCCUCUGUAGCAGGUGGCUCUUGCUGACUUGUAGGAUUAAGUCCAUCUUCCUUGAGUGGGUCUUUAGUGCUAGCUCCAUCUGACUGCAGCCUUUUCUUAACCUUUCUCCACUAUGCAAGCCUUCUGCUUUUUGACAGACAGCAAUCCAUUGUCACCAAGCACACACUAUGCCAGGAGUUUUAAAGCCAUGGCCAAUGAGUUACCUUCUAGGGGACAUAUCAGGAGUUUAAAAACCAGGUAUACAAAUACUUAGACUUAAAAUUUUUUUUCAAAUUUUCUUCCUGUUUUUCAGAAAAUGGUAUUAUGAAAAAAUGUUUUAUGUUAAUAUAUAAAAUUACAUUAUUGUGGUUUGUUUCAGCUCAAAUAUCUUGUACUGCAACUGUUUACGAGCUAAAAAUGGAUUGUUAUCAUGUCAUAUAAUCUAAGAUUUAUUGAUUAGAAUUAAAGCAAAUGUGCUCUGCCAUUAUGAUUAUUAAUAUUUUUGUUUGUUUGUUGAUAUUGGGUCUAACAUACAAUUAGAAAAUGUUGAAGAAAAUAAAAUGUGACUAUAAAUAUAGUAGCUUGGAAAACCUAACACUCCUAAACUCUUCAAAUUAAAUAUAUACACACUCACCACAAAGAUGCACAAACAUACAAACUUAGAUGAUUCCUUCUGAAUGCCUAGGUUACCUCUAUUUUUCUUCCCUUAAGUAAGCACAUCUUUCGAAUCUAAUAAAUGCUUGUGAUUUCAGGCAAAGAAUUAAUAGGAAGGUAUCUCAAUAGAAGAUAAGAAAUCAGGACGUAAUACUCUUUUUAUCUCCCUUUCCCCACCUUUGGAUGGCAUUUGUAAUUUUAGUUUACUUUAACUUCCCAUGCCUGUCUAUGCCACAAUAAUAUUUGAAGACAAUGAAAAAAUACCAGGCUAACUUUAAUGCCCCAAUCUAGCCACUGCUAACCAGCCGUGGAAUUCCUAUUAAGUGACCAUAGGCCAUUUUGAAUGUUAGAUCUAUAUAAAACUGCAAAACUGACUUUUAUAAAGGAACAAUUGGCUCAAGCUUCUGUGUUCUCUUUCCUUACUGUGAUCUGUAGCUAGAUGCCAGGCCCAUGGAUAUAAUGCAAUGGUGACAAAAAAGGGCUGGCUCAGGAUAGCCCAGUCUACCAAUGGUACCAUAGCAGACACUUGAGGCUCAUAGCAAUGGAACUCCUAUUGUACCAAAUUUCCUAUGAGUCAAGUGUACAAAAGUAUAACAUAAGUAUCAUUCUCCCUAAGAUCUAGAAAGGUUUGACUUAGUCUCUAUUCCACACUCUGUGGGAAAGUCCAGUGCUGUUCCCAAGAUUUUUGUGGACUCUCUAGGGACACACCCUUGGGGCAUCUCUGAGUCUGAUUUCUUCUUUCUUGAGUUCUGGUUCUCCAUUCUGUGCUUUGUGACUUUUUCUUUACCUCCUCUCUGGCAUCAAUCUGAGUGUGAAAUCAGCUCUUUGUUUUCUUUUAAAACCCCACUCAAUGUGUAUGGAUAUAAAAGGAAACUCAUUAUCACAACAUUUCAAACAAAGUAAGAGUGAGUAUUAGGCAUCUCUGCUCUUAAAAUUGUUUUGGCCACUCUCUCCUACUUCUUCUACUCUUUCUCUCUUUCUCCUCCAUCCAGUCCUUUCAGUAGAAAAUAAAACAAUUUCCCCCCAACUCAUCCCCCAAACCUUCACCCCUUUCUCUCAAUUGUCAUUCUCUUCAAACACACAUUCUGGCCUACCUUUAGCACGGGACUCAGCAGAAACUCAGAAAUCACC
rnacentral:lncRNA from 1 species